rnacentral:misc_RNA from 1 species
GAUGAAGAACGUAGCGAAAUGCGAUAAGUAAUGUGAAUUGCAGAAUUCAGUGAAUCAUCGAAUCUUUGAACGCACAUUGUGCCCGCCAGUAUUCUGGCGGGCAUGCCUGUUCGAGCGUCAUUUCAACCAUCAAGCCCCAGGCUUGUGUUGGGGACCUGCGGCUGCCGCAGGCCCUGAAAACCAGUGGCGGGCUCGCUGUCACACCGGGCGUAGUAGAUUUUAUCUCGCUCAGGGCGUGCUGCGGGUUCCGGCCGUUAAAAAGCCUUUUUUACCCAAGGUUGACCUCGGAUCAGGUAGGAAGACCCGCUGAACUUAAGCAUAUCAAUAAGCGGAGGA